AAUUUAAUAAUGUGGUAAUGAUGGUAAUCAAAUUCUCCCCUUUCCUCAGGGUUUGCUAUUUUUUAUUUAACUAUUAUUAGUGUUCUUGU